AUUGAACGCUGGCGGCAUGCUUUACACAUGCAAGUCGAACGGUAACAGGCCGCAAGGUGCUGACGAGUGGCGAACGGGUGAGUAAUGCAUCGGAACGUGCCCAGUCGUGGGGGAUAACGCAGCGAAAGCUGUGCUAAUACCGCAUACGAUCUACGGAUGAAAGCGGGGGAUCGCAAGACCUCGCGCGAUUGGAGCGGCCGAUAUCAGAUUAGCUAGUUGGUGAGGUAAAGGCUCACCAAGGCGACGAUCUGUAGCUGGUCUGAGAGGACGACCAGCCACACUGGAACUGAGACACGGUCCAGACUCCUACGGGAGGCAGCAGUGGGGAAUUUUGGACGAUGGGCGAAAGCCUGAUCCAGCAAUGCCGCGUGCAGGAUGAAGGCCUUCGGGUUGUAAACUGCUUUUGUACGGAACGAAACGGUGAGCUCUAAUACAGUUUGCUAAUGACGGUACCGUAAGAAUAAGCACCGGCUAACUACGUGCCAGCCGCCGCAGUAA
rnacentral:rRNA from 1 species